GACGAACGCUGGCGGCGUGCUUAACACAUGCAAGUCGAACGGUGAAGCGCCUUCCUUUUUGGUGGGUGUGGAUGAGUGGCGAACGGGUGAGUAACACGUGAGUAACCUGCCCCCUUCUUCUGGAUAACCGCAUGAAAGUGUGGCUAAUACGGGAUAUUCUGGGUCUGUCGCAUGAUGGGUCUGGGAAAGAUAUUGUUUCGGUGGGGGAUGGGCUCGCGGCCUAUCAGCUUGUUGGUGGGGUGAUGGCCUACCAAGGCGGUGACGGGUAGCCGGCCUGAGAGGGUGGACGGUCACACUGGGACUGAGACACGGCCCAGACUCCUACGGGAGGCAGCAGUGGGGAAUAUUGCACAAUGGGCGCAAGCCUGAUGCAGCGACGCCGCGUGAGGGAUGGAGGCCUUCGGGUUGUGAACCUCUUUCGCCAGUGAAGCAGGCCUGCCUCGUUGUGGGUGGGUUGACGGUAGCUGGAUAAGAAGCGCCGGCUAACUACGUG
rnacentral:rRNA from 1 species